rnacentral:lncRNA from 1 species
AUAUCAAUACCGAUUACUGGGUAAAAAUAACCAACAAAGAGGGGAUUACAUCUAUCGGGUACUGGGUAGAAAACCACAUAAAUAGGACUUACAACUAUCGGUUACUGGGUAGAAGGCCACAAAAUCCGUUGGGGAAAGGAUGAACAAUUACUGGUUACUGAGCAAUUGAACAACUGAACCACAGGGAACUGCAAGGGAUAACAAGAAAGGAAUCAAUC